AAAUUGAAGAGUUUGAUCAUGGCUCAGAUUGAACGCUGGCGGCAGGCCUAACACAUGCAAGUCGAGCGGAAACGAGUUAUCAGAACCUUCGGGGGACGAUAACGGCGUCGAGCGGCGGACGGGUGAGUAAUGCCUAGGAAAUUGCCCUGAUGUGGGGGAUAACCAUUGGAAACGAUGGCUAAUACCGCAUGAUGCCUACGGGCCAAAGAGGGGGACCUUCGGGCCUCUCGCGUCAGGAUAUGCCUAGGUGGGAUUAGCUAGUUGGUGAGGUAAGGGCUCACCAAGGCGACGAUCCCUAGCUGGUCUGAGAGGAUGAUCAGCCACACUGGAACUGAGACACGGUCCAGACUCCUACGGGAGGCAGCAGUGGGGAAUAUUGCACAAUGGGCGCAAGCCUGAUGCAGCCAUGCCGCGUGUGUGAAGAAGGCCUUCGGGUUGUAAAGCACUUUCAGUCGUGAGGAAGGUAGUGUAGUUAAUAGCUGCAUUAUUUGACGUUAGCGACAGAAGAAGCACCGGCUAACUCCGUGCCAGCAGCCGCGGUAAUACGGAGGGUGCGAGCGUUAAUCGGAAUUACUGGGCGUAAAGCGCAUGCAGGUGGUUUGUUAAGUCAGAUGUGAAAGCCCGGGGCUCAACCUCGGAAUUGCAUUUGAAACUGGCAGACUAGAGUACUGUAGAGGGGGGUAGAAUUUCAGGUGUAGCGGUGAAAUGCGUAGAGAUCUGAAGGAAUACCGGUGGCGAAGGCGGCCCCCUGGACAGAUACUGACACUCAGAUGCGAAAGCGUGGGGAGCAAACAGGAUUAGAUACCCUGGUAGUCCACGCCGUAAACGAUGUCUACUUGGAGGUUGUGGCCUUGAGCCGUGGCUUUCGGAGCUAACGCGUUAAGUAGACCGCCUGGGGAGUACGGUCGCAAGAUUAAAACUCAAAUGAAUUGACGGGGCCCGCACAAGCGGUGGAGCAUGUGGUUUAAUUCGAUGCAACGCGAAGAACCUUACCUACUCUUGACAUCCAGAGAACUUUCCAGAGAUGGAUUGGUGCCUUCGGGAACUCUGAGACAGGUGCUGCAUGGCUGUCGUCAGCUCGUGUUGUGAAAUGUUGGGUUAAGUCCCGCAACGAGCGCAACCCUUAUCCUUGUUUGCCAGCGAGUAAUGUCGGGAACUCCAGGGAGACUGCCGGUGAUAAACCGGAGGAAGGUGGGGACGACGUCAAGUCAUCAUGGCCCUUACGAGUAGGGCUACACACGUGCUACAAUGGCGCAUACAGAGGGCAGCCAACUUGCGAAAGUGAGCGAAUCCCAAAAAGUGCGUCGUAGUCCGGAUUGGAGUCUGCAACUCGACUCCAUGAAGUCGGAAUCGCUAGUAAUCGUGGAUCAGAAUGCCACGGUGAAUACGUUCCCGGGCCUUGUACACACCGCCCGUCACACCAUGGGAGUGGGCUGCAAAAGAAGUAGGUAGUUUAACCUUCGGGGGGACGCUUACCACUUUGUGGUUCAUGACUGGGGUGAAGUCGUAACAAGGUAGCGCUAGGGGAACCUGGCGCUGGAUCACCUCCUUAAACGAUGAU
rnacentral:rRNA from 1 species